GACGAACGCUGGAGGCGUGCUUAACACAUGCAAGUCGAACGAUGAAAUGAAGCUUGCUACAUGGAUUAGUGGCGAACGGGUGAGUAACGCGUGAAUAACCAGCCCUUUAUUUUGCAUUAACCCAGGGAAACCUGGGCUAAUACCGGAUACGUAAACUUGUGGCAACACAUGGUUUGGGAAAGUUUUUCGAUUAAGGAUGGAUUCGCGGCCUAUCAGCUUUGUGGUGAGGUAAUGGCUAACCAAGGCGACGACGGGUAGCCGGCCUGAGAGGGUGAAGGGACACACUGGGACUGAGACACGGCACAGACUACUACGGGAGGCAGGAGUGGGGAAUAUUGCGCAAUGGAAGAAAGUCUGACGCAGCGACGCCUCGUGAGGGACGAAGGUCUUCGGAUUGUAAACCUCUUUCAGCAGGGAGGAAGCGAAAGUGACGGUACCUGCAGAAGAAGCACCGGCUAACUAUGUGCCAGCAGCCGCGGUAA
rnacentral:rRNA from 1 species